rnacentral:rRNA from 1 species
CGGACGGGUGAGUAAUGUCUGGGAAACUGCCUGAUGGAGGGGGAUAACUACUGGGAACGGUAGCUAAUACCGCAUAACGUCGCAAGACCAAAGAGGGGGACCUUCGGGCCUCUUGCCAUCGGAUGUGCCCAGAUGGGAUUAGCUAGUAGGUGGGGUAACGGCUCACCUAGGCGACGAUCCCUAGCUGGUCUGAGAGGAUGACCAGCCACACCGGAACUGAGACACGGUCCAG